CAGUGUGUGUCGCUGCCUCCUCGUCCCUGUGCGGAGGCGGACGUACCUCGAUCUCGUUCGCUGAGGCGCUGUCGAAGUUGAGGUGAGGUCUGAACAUGACCACGUCGGUGGGAUACUGAACUCUGUGGAUCAUCUCUGAGGAAUCAGACCAACGUCAGGUAAACAAAGGAUCCCCGCUGACACAGCUCAAACACCCCAAACACUCCGUACUCAAACUUCACCGUGCCGUAGAACUUGGUCAGGUUGUAGUAAUCGAUGCGCAGCAGCUGAAAGGUGAAGAUGAGGCAGGAGAGGAGAAUCAGUGAGGAGGUGGAACUACGUCCCGGUGAUCUGCUCUGUAACAACCUGGAGGUUUUCUCACGGUGUUGAGCUCGAUCUUCUGGUCCUCGUUGAAGUCGCCGUCUAAGUGCUUCAGCUCCUUCAAGAUCACCGGCUGGAGAAGAGAGAGAGAACACGGUUACACUCUGAGAGAACAGGCUCCACAGGAUCAGAAGAUCAGAGCGAUGGCCGUCACCACGAUGACACUGAGACUCAGCACGAUCACAAUCACAUCCUGCAUAUUUAGACCUGGAAUCAAACAGUGGCCUCAUCAAGCACAACAUCACAGUGACUCCUGGAUCAAAGAAUAUCCCUGUACCAUCACAGUUUUCUCAUUUUGAUUAUAUUAUUGAAUAUUAAAUUGUUAUUGCUAUUAAAAAUACAAAUGCAAACGUU